rnacentral:lncRNA from 1 species
CUUGUGAGACCUUUUCUACCUCACCUUGUCCAGCGACUUGGCUUUCGGCUUCGUACCUGUUCUGGUCAAUUUUUUCGCUUGCUGCUUCAUCCCCUGUUUCCAUCUUCGCUGCUGCCCCUUCACUGCCUUCGUGUGCCGCUGUCCUUGUGUGAUUCCAGUGGGUAAUUCCUUCAUAGCUUCAAGUGGGAUCCUUGGUUCCGUCUAAUGGAGCUACCUUGUGUGUAUUUUGGUCAAUGAUCCGAGCCCUAUGUACUCCAUUUUUGGUGCCAAUCUUUGUGAUAUUGAAAGGAGAAGCGUUUGUAUUCAUUCAGAGUUUUGAUUUCAUUAUUAUUAUUGAUUUGGAACUCACUUAGUGUAUGUUUGAUCAAUUGAAGGCUCCAUAAACUAGUAUCAAACCCUCUAGUUGCUCGAUUGCUUGGUGAUUUUCAAUCCUUAGUGGUUGAAAAUUGGAAUUAUUGUUUUUGUCCUGUGUAUCCUAUGCAAUUGAGUUGUUGGUCUACUAAUUUUGCAAUAAGGACUUGAAUCCUUAAUUAAAAUCACAUCUCUCAUUGUUACGGACCAUAGAUAGGUCCAUUUUGGUGAAUUGGCUGAAACUAUUUUAAUUACUAAAAGAGCAAGUUAUCGUGUAGGGUGAUUAAUAGGAUUGUAGCCUUGCCUAAUGCUAGUAUUUUAGGGGAUAUUUUCCUAAAUUGUAAUAUUAUCAUUUUUGUGGCUAUAUUGAUCGUUUAAUUUCUAUAUUGUCUAUCUCUGCAUGAUUCGAGUGAGUGUUUCAAGUGGAAUUCUUGGCUCCUUCUAGUGGAAAUACCUUGUGUGUAUUUGGAUCAAUGAUCCGAGCCUUGUAUACUCUAUUUUGG